GCGGCAACAGCUCAAAUUUGAAAUCUGGCCCCCUCGGGGUCCGAGUUGUAAUUUGUAGAGAGUGUUUCGGGUGAGACCACGGUCUAAGUCUAUUGGAACAUGGCGUCAUAGAGGGUGAGAAUCCCGUAUGUGACUGUGGCUCGAGCCCAUGUGAAGCCUCUUCGACGAGUCGAGUUGUUUGGGAAUGCAGCUCAAAAUGGGUGGUAAAUUUCAUCUAAAGCUAAAUACUGGCUGGAGACCGAUAGCGCACAAGUAGAGUGAUCGAAAGAUGAAAAGCACUUUGGAAAGAGAGUCAAAAAGUACGUGAAAUUGUUGAAAGGGAAGCGCUUGCAACCAGACCUGUCCGUAGGUGAUCAGCCGCUGUUCUCAGCGGUGCACUCGCUCUGCGAUCAGGCCAGCAUCGGUUUCGGCGGUCGGAUAAAGGCCUUGGGAAUGUAGCUUCCUUCGGGGAGUCUUAUAGCCCUCGGUGCAAUGCGGCCAGCCGGGACCGAGGACCGCGCUUCGGCUAGGAUGCUGGCGUAAUGGUUGUAAGCGACCCGUCUUGAAACACGGACCAAGGAGUCUACCAUCUAUGCGAGUGUUUGGGUGUUAAACCCAUGCGCGGAAUGAAAGUGAACGGAGGUGAGAACCCUUUAGGGCGCAUCAUCGACCGAUCCAGAUGUCUUCGGAUGGAUUUGAGUAUGAGCAUAGCUGGUGGGACCCGAAAGAUGGUGAACUAUGCCUGAAUAGGGUGAAGCCAGAGGAAACUCUGGUGGAGGCUCGCAGCGGUUCUGACGUGCAAAUCGAUCGUCAAAUUUGGGCAUAGGGG
rnacentral:rRNA from 1 species